AGAGUUUGAUCCUGGCUCAGGAUGAACGCUAGCGGCAGGCUUAACACAUGCAAGUCGAGGGGCAGCAUUACUUUUCGGAGUAGAUGGCGACCGGCGCACGGGUGCGUAACGCGUAUGCAACCUACCCUUAACUGUAGGAUAGCCCGGAGAAAUCCGGAUUAAUACUACAUGGUACUAUAGUAUGGCAUCAUAUAAUAGUUAAAGAUUUAUUGGUAAAGGAUGGGCAUGCGUGACAUUAGCUAGUUGGUACGGUAACGGCGUACCAAGGCUACGAUGUCUAGGGGUUCUGAGAGGAAGAUCCCCCACACUGGUACUGAGACACGGACCAGACUCCUACGGGAGGCAGCAGUGAGGAAUAUUGGUCAAUGGGCGCGAGCCUGAACCAGCCAUGCCGCGUGCAGGAAGACGGCCUUCUGGGUUGUAAACUGCUUUUAUACGGGAGCAAAAGGUCUCUGCGGAGAACAUUGAGAGUAUCGUAUGAAUAAGCACCGCUAACU
rnacentral:rRNA from 1 species